rnacentral:rRNA from 1 species
AGAGUUUGAUCCUGGCUCAGGGUGAACGCUGGCGGCGCGCUUAAUGCAUGCAAGUCGAACGUGCUUUCGGGCAAGUGGCAGACGGCUGAGUAACGCGUGAGUAACGUGCCCUCCGGUGGGGUAUAGCCUCGGGAAACUGAGAGUAAUCCCGCAUACGAUCCGGUGGCUUUGGUUGCCGGAUGAAAGCCUAACGGCGCCGGAGGAGCGGCUCGCGUCCUAUCAGGUAGUUGGUGGGGUAAAGGCUCACCAAGCCUAUGACGGGUAGCUGGUCUUAGAGGACGAUCAGCCAGAGGGGGACUGAGACACGGCCCCCACUCCUACGGGAGGCAGCAGCAGGGAAUUUUGGGCAAUGGGCGAAAGCCUGACCCAGCGACGCCGCGUGGGGGAUGAAGGCCUUAGGGCUGUAAACCCCUUUUCCCGGGGAAGAGAAAGGACGGU